UCGCGAAAACUUCACAAUGGGGGAAACCCCGAUGAGGGAAUUCCAAGUGUUAGCACAUUGUGUUAACUGUUCCCCUGUCUAAAAAACAGGAGAAGUAAGGGCCGGGUAAGACGGGUGCCAGCCGCCGCGGUAAUACCCGCGGCCCGAGUGGUGGUCGAUAUUAUUGAGCCUAAAACGUUCGUAGCCGGUUUUGUAAAUCCUUGGGUAAAUCGACCAGCUUAACUGUUCGAAGUCCGGGGAGACUGCAAAACUUGGGAUCGGGAGAGGUCAGAGGUACUUCUGGGGUAGGGGUAAAAUCCUGUAAUCCUAGAAGGACCACCGGUGGCGAAGGCGUCUGACUAGAACGAAUUCGACGGUGAGGAACGAAGCCCUGGGGCGCAAACGGGAUUAGAUACCCCGGUAGUCCAGGGUGUAAACGCUGCGGGCUUGGUGUUGGGGGUCCUUAGUGGGCGCCCAGUGCCGGAGAGAAGUUGUUAAGCCUGCUGCUUGGGGAGUACGUCCGCAAGGAUGAAACUUAAAGGAAUUGGCGGGGGAGCACCGCAACGGGAGGAGCGUGCGGUUCAAUUGGAUUCAACGCCGGACAACUCAACCG
rnacentral:rRNA from 1 species